GCGGGGGUGGAGGAGUCCCUCAGCCCAGAUUGCAAGAGAGCGCAGGCCAGGCUGAGGGACCCUACCAGUGCACG
rnacentral:pre_miRNA from 1 species